AACAAGGAUUCCCUCAGUAACGGCGAGUGAAGAGGGAAGAGCUCAGUUUUGAAAUCUGGCAGUCAUUCACUGUCCGAGUUGUAAAUUGAAGAGAUUGUCAUCCACACUGGACCAUGUCUAAAUUGUAAUGAUCCACAGUCCUUUGAUGGAGUAUCAGAGAGGGUAAUAAUCCCGUCUUUAACGUGGACUCCCAGUGUUUAUGUGAUGCAUUCUCUCAGAGUCGAGUAGUUUGGGAAUGCUGCUCUAAUGGGAGGUAAACUCCUUCUAAAGCUAAAUAUUGGCGAGAGACCGAUAGCGAACAAGUACCGUGAGGGAAAGAUGAAAAGAACUCUGAAAAGAGAGUCAAACAGAACGUGAAAUUGCUGAAAGGGAAGCGUUUGGAGUCAGAUGCGUCUUCAUGGAAUAACGGCUUCUGCAAAGAAGGUCAGUGACUUGAAGAUGGGCCAGCACUCACGUAGACCAUUGGAAAAGGGGUCAUUGGAAUGUAGCUCACUUGUUGAGUGAUUAUAGCCUUGAUUCAUAUACAAUGUGUGUGUUAUGUGAGAUAGACAGCACGACUGACUCAGUCAGUGCUUGCUUGAUUGGCAUAAUGGCUCUAAGCGACCCGUCUUGAAACACGGACCAAGGAGUCUAACAUGUAUGCGAGUAUUAGAGUGAUUGAAACUCUGAAUGCGCAAUGAAAGUGGUCUUUGACUGAGAAUCCUCAGUUAGGGGAGGCAUCAGUACCCCGAGUCUGCUAGUCUUUGACUAAAGAUUUGGAGGUAGAGCAUAUAUGUUGGGACCCGAAAGAUGGUGAACUAUGCCUGAAUAGGGUGAAGUCAGAGGAAACUCUGAUGGAGGCCCGUAGCGAUUCUGACGUGCAAAUCGAUCGUAGAAUUUGGGUAUAGGGGCGAAAGACUAAUCGAACCAUCUAGUAGCUGGUUCCUGCCGA
rnacentral:rRNA from 1 species